UCUUUUUGUAAUUAUAUAAAGUUGUGCCUGCCCACUGAUUAUUAUUGAAGGGCCGCGGUAUUUUGACCGUGCAAAGGUAGCAUAAUCAUUAGUUUUUUAAUUGGGAACUGGAAUGAAUGGUUUGACGAGAUAAUAACUGUCUUAUGAUUAUAGAUUGAAUUUUACUUUUAAGUUAAAAGGCUUAAAUGUUUAUAAGGGACGAGAAGACCCUAUAGAUCUUUACAUUUAAUUAUUUAUAUAGAAUUAGUCGUUGAUUUUAUGUAUAUUAAUUAUUUUUGUUUUGUUGGGGUGACGAGAGAAUAUAAAAACUUCUUUAUAUUAAACUUUGAUGAAUGGGAAAAUGAUCCUUGUUUUUGGAAUUAAGAUUAAGAUACCUUAGGGAUAACAGCGUAAUUUUGUUGGAGAGUUCUUAUCGAUAAUGGAGAUUGCGACCUCGAUGUUGGAUUAAGAUUAGUUUAGGGUGUAGGUGCUUUAWUAUUUGGUCUGUUC
rnacentral:rRNA from 1 species